rnacentral:rRNA from 1 species
UGAGCAUGUGGUUUAAUUCGAAGCAACGCGAAGAACCUUACCAGGUCUUGACAUCCCCUGACAACCCGAGAGAUCGGGCGUUCCCCUUCGGGGGACAGGGUGACAGGUGGUGCAUGGUUGUCGUCAGCUCGUGUCGUGAGAUGUUGGGUUAAGUCCCGCAACGAGCGCAACCCUCGACCUUAGUUGCCAGCAUUCAGUUGGGCACUCUAAGGUGACUGCCGGCUAAAAGUCGGAGGAAGUGGGGAUGACGUCAAAUCAUCAUGCCCCUUAUGACCUGGGCUACACACGUGCUACAAUGGGCGGUACAAAGGGUCGCGAACCCGCGAGGGGGAGCCAAUCCCAAAAAGCCGCUCUCAGUUCGGAUUGCAGGCUGCAACUCGCCUGCAUGAAGCCGGAAUCGCUAGUAAUCGCGGAUCAGCAUGCCGCGGUGAAUACGUUCCCGGGCCUU